rnacentral:rRNA from 1 species
CUACGGGAGGCUCCAGUGGGGAAUCUUGCGCAAUGGGCGAAAGCCUGACGCAGCAACGCCGCGUGCGGGAUGAAGGCCUUCGGGUUGUAAACCGCUUUUACCAGGAAGGAAACUGACAGUACCUGGAGAAUAAGGUGCGGCCAACUACGUGCCAGCAGCCGCGGUGACACGUAGGCACCAAGCGUUGUCCGGAUUUAUUGGGCGUAAAGAGCUCGUAGGCGGUUCAGUAAGUCGGGUGUGAAAACUCUGGGCUUAACCCAGAGACGCCACCCGAUACUGCUGUGACUUGAGUCCGGUAGGGGAGUGGGGAAUUCCUGGUGUAGCGGUGAAAUGCGCAGAUAUCAGGAGGAACACCAAUGGCGAAGGCACCACUCUGGGCCGAGACUGACGCUGAGGAGCGAAAGCGUGGGUAGCAAACAGGAUUAGAUACCCGCGUAGUC